rnacentral:rRNA from 1 species
CGACCCCAGGUCAGACGGGACUACCCGCUGAGUUUAAGCAUAUCAAUAAGCGGAGGAAAAGAAACUUACCAGGAUUCCCUUAGUAACGGCGAGCGAACCGGGAAUAGCCCAGCCUUAAAAUCGGAUGGCCUCGCUAUUCGA